rnacentral:rRNA from 1 species
GGUUAAGCGACUAAGCGUACACGGUGGAUGCCUAGGCAGUCAGAGGCGAUGAAGGGCGUGCUAAUCUGCGAAAAGCGUCGGUAAGCUGAUAUGAAGCGUUACAACCGACGAUACCCGAAUGGGGAAACCCAGUGCAAUUCGUUGCACUAUUGCAUGGUGAAUACAUAGCCAUGCAAGGCGAACCGGGGGAACUGAAACAUCUAAGUACCCCGAGGAAAAGAAAUCAACCGAGAUUCCCCCAGUAGCGGCGAGCGAACGGGGAAGAGCCCAGAGUCUGAAUCAGUUUAUGUGUUAGUGGAAGCGUCUGGAAAGUCGCACGGUACAGGGUGAUAGUCCCGUACACAAAAAUGCAUAUUCUGUGAACUCGAUGAGUAGGGCGGGACACGUGACAUCCUGUCUGAAUAUGGGGGGACCAUCCUCCAAGGCUAAAUACUCCUGACUGACCGAUAGUGAACCAGUACCGUGAGGGAAAGGCGAAAAGAACCCCGGCGAGGGGAGUGAAAUAGAACCUGAAACCGUGUACGUACAAGCAGUGGGAGCACCUUCGUGGUGUGACUGCGUACCUUUUGUAUAAUGGGUCAGCGACUUAUAUUUUGUAGCAAGGUUAACCGAAUAGGGGAGCCGUAGGGAAACCGAGUCUUAACUGGGCGUCUAGUUGCAAGGUAUAGACCCGAAACCCGGUGAUCUAGCCAUGGGCAGGUUGAAGGUUGGGUAACACUAACUGGAGGACCGAACCGACUAAUGUUGAAAAAUUAGCGGAUGACUUGUGGCUGGGGGUGAAAGGCCAAUCAAACCGGGAGAUAGCUGGUUCUCCCCGAAAGCUAUUUAGGUAGCGCCUCGUGAACUCAUCUUCGGGGGUAGAGCACUGUUUCGGCUAGGGGGUCAUCCCGACUUACCAAACCGAUGCAAACUCCGAAUACCGAAGAAUGUUAUCACGGGAGACACACGGCGGGUGCUAACGUCCGUCGUGAAGAGGGAAACAACCCAGACCGCCAGCUAAGGUCCCAAAGUCAUGGUUAAGUGGGAAACGAUGUGGGAAGGCACAGACAGCCAGGAUGUUGGCUUAGAAGCAGCCAUCAUUUAAAGAAAGCGUAAUAGCUCACUGGUCGAGUCGGCCUGCGCGGAAGAUGUAACGGGGCUAAACCAUGCACCGAAGCUGCGGCAGCGACACUUAGGUGUUGUUGGGUAGGGGAGCGUUCUGUAAGCCGUUGAAGGUGACCUGUGAGGGUUGCUGGAGGUAUCAGAAGUGCGAAUGCUGACAUAAGUAACGAUAAUGCGGGUGAAAAACCCGCACGCCGGAAGACCAAGGGUUCCUGUCCAACGUUAAUCGGGGCAGGGUGAGUCGACCCCUAAGGCGAGGCUGAAAAGCGUAGUCGAUGGGAAACAGGUUAAUAUUCCUGUACUUGGUGUUACUGCGAAGGGGGGACGGAGAAGGCUAGGCUAGCCGGGCGACGGUUGUCCCGGUUUAAGCAUGUAGGCGGAGUGACCAGGUAAAUCCGGUUGCUUAUCAACGCUGAGGUGUGAUGACGAGCCACUACGGUGGUGAAGUAGUUGAUGCCAAGCUUCCAGGAAAAGCCUCUAAGCAUCAGGUAACAUUAAAUCGUACCCCAAACCGACACAGGUGGUCAGGUAGAGAAUACUCAGGCGCUUGAGAGAACUCGGGUGAAGGAACUAGGCAAAAUGGUGCCGUAACUUCGGGAGAAGGCACGCUGGCGGUAGGUGAAGAGACUUGCUCUCGGAGCUGAAGCCAGUCGCAGAUACCAGCUGGCUGCAACUGUUUAAUAAAAACACAGCACUGUGCAAACACGAAAGUGGACGUAUACGGUGUGACGCCUGCCCGGUGCUGGAAGGUUAAUUGAUGGGGUCAGCCGCAAGGCGAAGCUCUUGAUCGAAGCCCCAGUAAACGGCGGCCGUAACUAUAACGGUCCUAAGGUAGCGAAAUUCCUUGUCGGGUAAGUUCCGACCUGCACGAAUGGCGUAAUGAUGGCCAGGCUGUCUCCACCCGAGACUCAGUGAAAUUGAACUCGCUGUGAAGAUGCAGUGUACCCGCGGCAAGACGGAAAGACCCCGUGAACCUUUACUAUAGCUUGACACUGAACAUUGAGCCUUGAUGUGUAGGAUAGGUGGGAGGCAUUGAAGUGUGGACGCCAGUCUGCAUGGAGCCAACCUUGAAAUACCACCCUUUAAUGUUUGAUGUUCUAACUCGGCCCCAUAAUCUGGGGUGAGGACAGUGUCUGGUGGGUAGUUUGACUGGGGCGGUCUCCUCCCAAAGAGUAACGGAGGAGCACGAAGGUUAGCUAAUCACGGUCGGACAUCGUGAGGUUAGUGCAAAGGCAUAAGCUAGCUUGACUGCGAGAGUGACGGCUCGAGCAGGUACGAAAGUAGGUCUUAGUGAUCCGGUGGUUCUGAAUGGAAGGGCCAUCGCUCAACGGAUAAAAGGUACUCCGGGGAUAACAGGCUGAUACCGCCCAAGAGUUCAUAUCGACGGCGGUGUUUGGCACCUCGAUGUCGGCUCAUCACAUCCUGGGGCUGAAGUAGGUCCCAAGGGUAUGGCUGUUCGCCAUUUAAAGUGGUACGCGAGCUGGGUUUAGAACGUCGUGAGACAGUUCGGUCCCUAUCUGCCGUGGGCGUUGGAAGAUUGAGAGGGGCUGCUCCUAGUACGAGAGGACCGGAGUGGACGAAUCACUGGUGUUCGGGUUGUCAUGCCAAUGGCAUUGCCCGGUAGCUAAAUUCGGAAGAGAUAACCGCUGAAAGCAUCUAAGCGGGAAACUUGCCUCGAGAUGAGUCUUCCCUGGGGCUUUAAGCCCCCUGAAGGAACGUUAAAGACUAUGACGUUGAUAGGCUGGGUGUGUAAGUGCAGCGAUGCAUUGAGCUAACCAGUACUAAUGAUCCGUGAGGCUUAACCUU